rnacentral:rRNA from 1 species
UACGAGAGGCCCAAACGUUAUUCGGAAUUACUGGGCUUAAAGAGUUCGUAGGCGGCGCGGAAAGUGGGGUGUGAAAGCCCUCGGCUCAACCGAGGAAUUGCGCUCCAAACUGCCGUGCUUGAGGGACCUAGAGGUGAGCGGAACUGAUGGUGGAGCGGUGAAAUGCGUUGAUAUCGGAAGGAACGCCGGUGGCGAAAGCGGCGUACUGGACCUCUUCUGACGCUGAGGCGCGAAAGCUAGGGGAGCAAACGGG